CAGUCUUGUGCAGGCCAGUAGUUAUGAGGUCAUAAUGCGAUGGCUAGAUUGUACCAAGAAUAUGGUAUUUUCUGUCCUUACCUUCUUUCUAGCCUCUCAUGUCCUGCUUUCUAACUGGCUGAGAGUGACUUCUAGCAUAACAGCAUGACCUACAUGAAUACAGAAGAGAAGAGUGGUCUUUGAAUCAACAAAAAGAGCACAGACAAAACCGAUGAGAUGGAUGGGAGAGGAUAGAUUAUCACGUAUCUGAAGACAUGACUCCAACAGCAGAAGCAGUUGAAGCAAAUCUGAUGACAGCAAGACAAACGGGAGCUCAGUGAUUUAUGAGAACUAAAUGCAGAAGAUGAAAACAGACUUUAACUCAGACUUUGGAGGAGAAGAGAAGGUUAAUGUAAGAUAUGGAGAAUAAGGCUGAAGGCACAGAAAGGUGCAUGCACAGCAGAUAGACAGUGGAGGACGAGGACCUCCACAAGGUACAGGAACACCAGAAUGACUCUACCAUCCCAGUCUCCACUUGGCUUUUCAUUAGAAACAUUACCCAAUCUUGGGAGUAAGGCCAAGAUGAUGGCAACAUGUCCUUCUAGUAUCAUUUUGAA